rnacentral:rRNA from 1 species
GCGACCCCAGGUCAGGCAGGACACCGGCCGAG